GUCAGCUAUCAGUAACUGAUUAGCAGUGGGAAUACAGUUGUACUAGUCACUUAGUUCCAGAAGCACUAAAGGAUAAGAGUUUUAUUUUUAUUAUCGUUUAAAUGGCGCCAGCAUCAUCUGUUGUGCAAUGCAGUCUGGGAUACAGAAGUAGAGGCCCUCGCCUACAUCCUGACAAAUCCCUGACCCCAGCAUCACCCUGAUCGUCUUGAUGUAUUUCUAGUUUCCCAGCCAUCACACAACACCUUGCCUGCUAUCAUCAAUCUCUGUAUGCCACAUCAAUCAUAACCUUCUGCAACCGCUCCAUGCCAGGGUUUUGACUCCUAACCAAGCCCCAAAGUUUUAUGAGAAUACCGUCAGAUGCCUACUGCAGCUUGCUCCUGUUUGUGUAAAGGGUCUUUUCAUAUGCAAAAGAAGGGAGGGGGGUCUUAUUUCCCACUUGCAGUGGGCUUUCCAGCUACCUUUUCAACAGAACUAAACUGAGAGCUUCUAAGGACAGUACUGCACUACUGGGAGCUAGCUGAAAACGUUGGGUGAGCCAAUGACAAGGGGCAUAUAUGUGGAGCAAAUAAUCAACAGCUGCUCCUG